UACGAAGGGUGCAAGCGUUAUCCGGAUUCAUUGGGCUUAAAGGGUGCGUAGGCGGGCUAUUAAGUCAGUGGUGAAAGCCCCAAGCUUAACUUGGGAACUGCCAUUGAUACUGAUGGUCUUGAGUACAUUUGAGGUGGGCGGAAUGUGUCAUGUAGCGGUGAAAUGCUUAGAUAUGACACAGAACACCGAUUGCGAAGGCAGCUCAUUAAGCUGUAACUGACGCUGAGGCACGAAAGCGUGGGGAGCAAACAGG
rnacentral:rRNA from 1 species